rnacentral:misc_RNA from 1 species
UCGAGUAUUGGGGUUCCAUUUUUUUGGGCCCCUACUCCCACACCAUGUGUACCCUUACCUUUACCGUUGCUUUGGCGGGCCGCCCUUACAGGCGCCGGACCCCUCUCGAGGAGACCGGAGAGCGCUCGCCAGAGGACCAACCAAAACUCUUGUAUUUCAACCGAUGAAGUCUGAGUAUAAUUCUUUGAAUUAAAUUA